UGGACCUCUGCCAUUUAGUCAACUAAAAUGUGAAAAGAAACGUUAAGGUGACUGAAUGACAUUACUAUAUCUUUAAGUCACCUUGCCAGACAGUUCAGUUAACAUUCAGUUGACUGAAUGUCACAUGCUCGUCCCCUGAUUAGAUUCAUUUGUUAAAGGCAGAAUACUUAUAGAGUUUAUACCAUACUUAUAGUUUUGUCCUAUAGUAAAAAAAUAAAAUCACCCCAAAAGUGUUGACAUUUAUAAACGGUGAAAGUGAAGCUUAAGUUUAAAGCGGAUGUAUUUUGAUCUCUAAAUAAAGAGCUGGACGAUUUCACUUGAGCUGAACCGGAAGAUAAAUUGAUCAUUUUAAUCUAGAGUUGCUGUGGAAUAGCAUGUUUUCUGGUCGUUUUCUUCCUCGGUCAGCGAUGUUCACAAUUUUAACAAUAUUUGUUUUUUACGAUUUAUUUCAGGUAAUAGAAAAUCGUACGUGUACAGGGUAAGUAAUCUCUGAAUUACCGUUGAAAAAAAAAAUUAAUUUGGAUAUAAUUGCCAUUUAAAUCCUGUUAUUCCAGAGUUGAUGGAAAAGAUACUUGUUGCCUUGGAUUUUCGCUAAAUAGAACCACUGGAAAUUGUGAAAAGUGUUCCAUUGGCUUCUAUGGCAAGGGUUGUUUACAGAAAUGCAUUUACCCUUUCUUUGGAGAAGACUGUCAGUAUGUAUGUCAUUGUCCUAAAGAUGGCUGCCACUUUUCUCACGGAUGUCUCCCGAGAGCUGAAACCGUUUCAUACCAGAAAAUAAGUUCAUCUUUAAUAUAUUCAACAAAAAUUUCAAUCUCGACUUCAACUGUUUCAUCAGCAGGUAAACCGGUAUACAAUCCAACCGUUACUCGCAACUUUUUCACGAAUGAUCACGAGUUAAGCGAUUCAACGGAUAAUAGUUUUAAUAAUAAUGACCUUCUAAAAAACAAUGUUGUCAUCACUUUUUUAGGAGUUUUCGUUUGCUUUUUUUCUGUAUUUGUUACUGCAUAUAUUUAUCUCAAGUGUUUUCGAAAGAGAUCAUAUGAAGGUAUAACUAAAGAGACUGAAUGGCAGGCUAUGUAUCAAUCGUUGAAUCGUGAGGCAGUAGAUACUCAAAGUACAACUUAUCCGGAACAAAGGCGAUUCAAUGUCAAUUCAGUGUAUCUGUCUCCAGUGUUCAAUCGCAGUGAGAGUAGUGAAACACCGCAUGGUUCACGGGAAAAUGAUAUGAGACUACAAAUCAAUGAAGUUUUGCAAGAAAUUUCAAUUGACAGCCAAGGAUACGACUCUUCAAUUACAGAAAUUGAACCAAACUUUCUAAACGAUGGAGUAAAUCAUAUUUACGUCGAAAUUGCAGAGGACAACACAUAAGAUGUUGAAACUGGCUGUGAAUCCAAUUGUUUGACAAUGAUGAGGCUACCACUUCUUUGGAGACAAGACUGCAAACAUUAGUGAUUAAUUAUCGAAGUAAAAAAAUGCUGAUUGACGUGAACAAAACAUUUUGAUAGUUCUUCAAAUACUUUUUUUUUUUAUAAUGUUAAGGCUAAUCGGUAUUUCGUAACUUACGACAGGUCCUUUGUUUUUAUAAACAAAUGGUUCGUUUUAUUUGUUGUUUACAUGAAGCAUUUGAUUUAAUUAUGUAUUACCUGACUAUUUGCAAUUACUGUUUAUUUUUUUUUACAGACACUUGUACAAUUUGCAACUAACU